rnacentral:rRNA from 1 species
GUCGAGAGUCUUCGGCAAUGGGCGCAAGCCUGACCGAGCGACGCCGCGUGCGAGAUGAAGGCCUUCGGGUUGUAAAUCGCUGUCAGAGGGGAGGAAAUGCCGGUGGGUUCUCCCAUCGGUUUGACCUAUCCUCAGAGGAAGGACGGGCUAAGUUCGUGCCAGCAGCCGCGGUAAGACGGACCGUCCAAACGUUAUUCGGAAUCACUGGGCUUAAAGGGUGCGUAGGCCGUCCGGUAAGUUGGGUGUGAAAGCCCUCGGCUCAACCG